rnacentral:tRNA from 1 species
UGGGGUAUAGCUCAAGUGGUAGAGCCCAUGCUUAGCAUGCAUAAAGUCCUGGGUUCAAUCCCCAGUGCCUCUA